AGGAGGAACAACCCAGUGGUGGGGCCAGCUCUGGAACCCUGGAUUCAGCCCCCGCAGGAACUCUGGAGCUCUCUGCCUGCAGGGCCUGGAGGCUCCGGGGUGGG
rnacentral:pre_miRNA from 1 species